ensembl:lncRNA
CAUUGAAGGGUUUAGGAAAACUGUGACCUGGUAGAAUCCAUUGAAGGGUUUAGGUAAACUGUCUGGGACCUGAAGUAUCCAUUGAAGGGUUUAGGUAAACUGGGACCUGAUGAAUCCAUUGAAGGGUUUAGGUAAACUGUCUGGGACCUGGAAGAAUCCUUUGAAGGGGUUAGGUAAACUGUCUGGGACCUGGAAGAAUCCUUUGAAGGGGUUAGGAAAACUGUCUGGGACCUGAAGAAUCCAUUGAAGGGUUUAGGUAAACUGGGACCUGGUAGACUCCAUUGAAGGGUUUAGGUAAACUGGGACCUGUAAGAAUCCAUUGAAGGGUUUAGGUAAACUGUCUGGGACCUGAAGAAUCCAUUGAAGGGUUUAGGUAAACUGGGACCUGGUAGAAUCCAUUGAAGGGUUUAAGUAAACUGUCUGGGACCUGAAGAAGCCAUUGAAGGGUUUAGGUAAACUGUCUGGGACCUGAAGAAUCCAUUGAAGGGUUUAGGUAAACUGGGACCUGGUAGAAUCCAUUGCAGGGUUUAGGUAAACUGGGACCUGGUAGAAUCCAUUGAAGGGUUUAGGUAAACUGGGACCUAGAAGAAUCCAUUGAAGGGUUUAGGUAAACUGGGACCUGGUAGAAUCCAUUGAAGGGUUUAGGUAAACUGUCUGGGACCUGGUAGAAUCCAUUGAAGGGUUUAGGUAAACUGGGACCUGAAGUAUCCAUUGAAGGGUUUAGGUAAACUGGGACCUAGAAGAAUCCAUUGAAGGGUUUAGGUAAACUGGGACCUGGUAGAAUCCAUUGAAGGGUUUAGGUGAACUGGGACCUAGAAGAAUCCAUUGAAGGGUGUAGGUGAACUGUCUGGGACCUGGUAGAAUCCAUUGAAGGGUUUAGGUAAACUGGGACCUAGAAGAAUCCAUUGAAGGGUUUAGGUAAACUGGGACCUAGAAGAAUCCAUUGAAGGGUUUAGGUAAACUGGGACCUAGAAGAAUCCAUUGAAGGGUUUAGGUAAACUGUUUGGGACCUGGUAGAAUCCAUUGAAGGGUUUAGGUGAACUGGGACCUAGAAGAAUCCAUUGAAGGGUUUAGGUGAACUGGGACCUGGUAGAAUCCAUUGAAGGGUGUAGGUAAACUGGGACCUAGAAGAAUCCAUUGAAGGGUUUAGGUAAACUGGGAUCUAGAAGAAUCCAUUGAAGGGUGUAGGUGAACUGUCUGGGAC